ACCUCGGCCGGAUUCGUCGGCCGGUUACGUCACAGCGCCGCGACUCGGCCUGUCCCAAUUCGAAGACUCCUUCAAAUGCGGUCGACGAAUGCGGCCUUCUUUUCGCCUGAAUGAAGGAUGGGUCGGGUGUAUCCUUCAAUAGGUAGCAUUUCCCAAGAUGCCUUGCGGGCCGGCCGGCAGAAAAACUUAAAAACAAUGGCGGACAGUGAAGCGGGAGCUGUCGGAGAGGAUUGCGCAUAUACAUGAACAAAAGAGAAAACCAGGGAAUUUAUUAAGCUUAGGACGGAGAUGGACCACAUGAUCACCGGAGCAAAGUAUUCGGCGGCUGUGGCAUGGAGACUAUUCUGGAGAAAAUGGGCAUCCAGGGGAAGGUGCCAGCGAUGAGCUUCUGGAGCUGAUCUGGGAGGACAUGAGGCUGCAGAGGGAGGCAGAGCAGCAGGAGCCCAGGAGAGAAGGAAGAACUUUGACAGCUUUUUACUUUGCUAGAAAAAAAUGGUUAAGGAAGAUUAAACAUGUACAUGUAAAAGAAAUAUCUAAAUAAAAUCAGUUCUGC